rnacentral:sRNA from 1 species
UUUUUGCGUUAGCGAUAGCAGCGGCAUCCUUUUUUUGCUUUAAUAAGUGGCAAAAAAAGAAAGAGCGAAUAGCGCGGUGCGCA